rnacentral:rRNA from 1 species
GAUGAACGCUGGCGGCGUGCCUAAUACAUGCAAGUCGAGCGAACAGACGAGGAGCUUGCUCCUCUGACGUUAGCGGCGGACGGGUGAGUAACACGUGGAUAACCUACCUAUAAGACUGGGAUAACUUCGGGAAACCGGAGCUAAUACCGUAUAAUAUAUUGAACCGCAUGGUUCAAUAGUGAAAGACGGUUUUGCUGUCACUUAUAGAUGGAUCCGCGCCGCAUUAGCUAGUUGGUACGGUAACGGCUUACCAAGGCAACGAUGCGUAGCCGACCUGAGAGGGUGAUAGGCCACACUGGAACUGAGACACGGUCCAGACUCCUACGGGAGGCAGCAGUAGGGAAUCUUCCGCAAUGGGCGAAAGCCUGACGGAGCAACGCCGCGUGAGUGAUGAAGGUCUUCGGAUCGUAAAACUCUGUUAUUAGGGAAGAACAAAUGUGGAAGUAACUAUGCACGUAUUGACGGUACCGAAUCAGAAAGCCACGGCUAACUACGUG